UACGUAGGGCGCAAGCGUUGUCCGGAAUUAUUGGGCGUAAAGAGCUCGUAGGCGGCUUGUCGCGUCGGAUGUGAAAGCCCGGGGCUUAACCCCGGGUCUGCAUUCGAUACGGGCAGGCUAGAGUUCGGUAGGGGAGAUCGGAAUUCCUGGUGUAGCGGUGAAAUGCGCAGAUAUCAGGAGGAACACCGGUGGCGAAGGCGGAUCUCUGGGCCGAUACUGACGCUGAGGAGCGAAAGCGUGGGAAGCGAACAGG
rnacentral:rRNA from 1 species